rnacentral:rRNA from 1 species
UGGGGAAUAUUGCACAAUGGGCGCAAGCCUGAUGCAGCCAUGCCGCGUGUAUGAAGAAGGCCUUCGGGUUGUAAAGUACUUUCAGCGAGGAGGAAGGCGUUGUGGUUAAUAACCGCAGCGAUUGACGUUACUCGCAGAAGAAGCACCGGCUAACUCCGUGCCAGCAGCCGCGGUAAUACGGAGGGUGCAAGCGUUAAUCGGAAUUACUGGGUGUAAAGCGCACGCAGGCGGUCUGUCAAGUCGGAUGUGAAAUCCCCGGGCUCAACCUGGGAACUGCAUCCGAAACUGGCAGGCUAGAGUCUUGUAGAGGGGGGUAGAAUUCCAGGUGUAGCGGUGAAAUGCGUAGAGAUCUGGAGGAAUACCGGUGGCGAAGGCGGCCCACUGGACAAAGACUGACGCUCAGGUGCGAAAGCGUGGGGAGCAAACA